CCCAUGUCCACUGCUGAAAGCACCUACAAUGGGCAUGUGAGCAUAAGAACUGGUCAACAGAGCAAUGGAAGAAGGUGGCCUGGUCUGAUGAAUCAUAUUUUCUUUUACAUCAUGUGGAUGGCUGCCUGGGCAUGCGUCGCUUACAUGAAGAAGCAGAUUCAUUUGCUCUUUCAUAACUUGCUGUUUGCAUCCUUUUUAUAUAUCUAACCUUUACACAUUAAAUAAUUACAACAGUUUUGGAAAAUAA